AUGCUUGCUUCAGCAGCAUAUAUACAAAAGUGGAACAAUACAAGUGAUUAGCAUGGCCCAUGCACAAGGAUGACAUUGAAAUUUGUGAAGCAUUCCCUAUUUGU
ensembl:snRNA U6 U6 spliceosomal RNA